CCUACGGGUGGCAGCAGUGGGGGAUAUUGCACAAUGGGGGAAACUCUGAUGUAGCGACGCCGCGUGAGUGAAGAAGUAUUUCGGUAUGUAAAGCUCUAUCAGUAGGGAAGAAAAUGACAGUACCUGACCAAUAAGCCCUGUCUAACUACGUGCAAGCAGCCGCGGUAAUACGGAGGGGGCAAUCGUUAUCCGGAUUUACUGGGUGUAAAGGGAGCGUAGACGGUUUUGUAAGUCUGGAGUGAAAGCCCGGGGCCCAACCCCGGGACUGCUUUGGAUACUGUGUAACUGGAGUACAGGAGGGGCAGGCGGAAUGCCUGGUGUAGCGGCGAAAUGCGUAGAUAUCAGGAGGAACACCGACGGCGAAGGCGGCCUGCUGGACUGAAACUGACGUUGAGGCUCGAAAGCGUGGGGAGCAAACAGGAUUAGAUACCCCAGUAGUC
rnacentral:rRNA from 1 species